rnacentral:rRNA from 1 species
GACGAACGCUGGCGGCGUGCUUAACACAUGCAAGUCGAACGGAAAGGCCCUGCUUUUGUGGGGUGCUCGAGUGGCGAACGGGUGAGUAACACGUGAGUAACCUGCCCUUGACUUUGGGAUAACUUCAGGAAACUGGGGCUAAUACCGGAUAGGAGCUCCUGCUGCAUGGUGGGGGUUGGAACGUUUCGGCGGUUGGGGAUGGACUAGCGGCUUAUCAGCUUGUUGGUGGGGUAGUGGCUUACCCAGGCUUUGACGGGUAGCCGGCCUGAGAGGGGGACCGGGCACAUGAGUACUGAGAGACGGCGCAGACUCGUACGGGGGGCAGCAGGGGGGAAUAUUGCACAGUGGGCGGAAGCCUGAUGCAGCAACGCCGCGGGCGUGAUGACGGCCUUCGGGUUGUAAACCGCUUUCGCCUGUGACGAAGCGGUAGUGACGGUAAUGGGUAAAGAAGCACCGGCUAACUACGUG